GAAAUAGAGGCACGGCCAGAGACGUUUGCAUUCAGCGAAGUGGCCGAGGAGCCAGGGCUUGAUUGGUCGGUCGCCGCAGUAGAGGAGUGGCGGAGGGUCAAGGAGAGGAGCUGAAGGUGGCGUACAUGAUUCUCCCACUGCUCAGUUACUCCUGACAACAACCCUGUGAGAAUUCAACCGCCGAGAACGUGCUCUUUUAAGCAAGAAAUGCAGGGAAUGCAAUGCUGCAGAAUCCGUCUCCUGUCAGCUCCUUCUCAGAAUCAGCUGUUAAACAGACGACAUGCUCCAAAAAAGAAACAGGCUGCCCGAAGCAGCUUUAUUCCAAGAAGCAGAAUACACUACCUGUUGGCCACCUUGCAAAACUGAAGGAACUUUGAGCAAAUGGAAAGUGGACACCAGUUUAGGCCACACCAGAAAUACUGGUCUAUCUGGUAUGAAAGAGGACAUUUGGAGAGGCUUCAGUAAUCCCAGCCAUGUAGCUAAGUAGUGUGUGGUGGAAACCCCCGGACUUGAGCUUCUUCAUGCUCAAACACAUGGCAGUAAAGUCACAAUACCCAAAUGAAGCACACUUAACUCUGUCAUAAGCUGCAACAUUCUUAAGGGUGCACCCCCAAUAUUUCUGCUUUAUUGACGUCAGAGGAAGCACAAUAAAAGUGGGAGAAAAAACACCCAGGAACAUUUGUGGUAUAUAUAAAAAAAUAAAUCAUGGGAUUUCAGCAGAAGGCUAUGGGACAUGUACUGACUGGAAAUGCAACAGGGUGACUUCAUCCAAACUUUUGCAGGCACCUGGGUAUAACUGUUCUGACACCAUCAUGAGCUCAAAGCAUCAUGGAUGAGCAACAAAAAGGACGUCUGGA